GGACUGCUGGCGCAACGGUAGCGCGUUCGAUUCCAGAUCGAAAGGUGUACGUGUAAACCAUCUAUAAAAUUAUAGUUCUUUUCUAAUAAUUAUAAUAGUAUCUGUUCGAAUCAGGUGUGGUUCA
rnacentral:tRNA from 1 species